AGCGUAGACGGUAGAUCAAGUCUGAAGUGAAAGCCCGGGGCUCAACCCCGGGACUGCUUUGGAAACUGGUAAACUAGAGUGCAGGAGAGGUAAGUGGAAUUCCUAGUGUAGCGGUGAAAUGCGUAGAUAUUAGGAGGAACACCAGUGGCGAAGGCGGCUUACUGGACUGUAACUGACGUUGAGGCUCGAAAGCGUGGGGAGCAAACA
rnacentral:rRNA from 1 species